rnacentral:rRNA from 1 species
AUGGGCUCGGGUGAGCCUCUUGGUUCUCCCAUGCCAGACUUCCCUGGGACACCGGAUGUCGAGGUCCUUGAUGGCCCUGACAAGCCCGCUACGAAGCCCUUCAACAAGCCAUUUGACCCCGUCCAUGAUAGGAAGAGGAAGAGAGGAGGCCUGAUGGAGGAGGAGAUCAAUGUCUUUUGCAGCAUGACUGAGGCGGUGAAGGAGGUGGCAACAGCCAUCAGGGAGUGCAAGCCCCUCGACGUCCACCCUGACCUGUAUGGCGCUGUCAUGACCCAGGGUGGAUUCAGCGAUGAGGCUCUCAUGGCAGCUCUCAGCCACCUGCUUGACAACAAGGCCCAGGGUGUUGGGUUCGUUGCGAUGGCCGACGCUCACAAGGGCAAGUGGUAUGCCAUCUUCAUCGGUGAGGUUCCAGGGGUUUAUAGUUCAUGGGAAGAAACCAAUGCACAAGUGGCAUAG